UACGUAGGGGGCAAGCGUUGUCCGGAAUCAUUGGGCGUAAAGCGCGUGUAGGCGGCUGGCUAAGUCCGCUCUGAAAGCCCGGGGCUCAACCCCGGGAGGCGGGUGGAUACUGGUCAGCUCGAGUCCGGAAGAGGAGUGUGGAAUUCCUGGUGUAGCGGUGAAAUGCGCAGAUAUCAGGAGGAACACCAAUGGCGAAGGCAGCACUCUGGGACGGUACUGACGCUGAGACGCGGAAGCGUGGGGAGCAAACAGG
rnacentral:rRNA from 1 species